AAGAUUCUACUUUCAGGGAUUAUUUUUAUAGUUUUUUGUUAGAGAAAUUUUUCUGAUCCUGUAGAGUGUAAAAAACCAUGAGGAAGAGAUGCAGUGGUUUUUUUUUGGGUGCCUGAAGCUGAUUCUUGGUGCUACCUUUGCAAUUAUCAUUAGCAGUUGAUGAUCAUUGUUUUUUUUCUCUUUGGGAGAUUAAGAGGGAGAAGGCACCACCUGAGUGGU